GAUGGCCGCGGUCAUUCCUCUUGGGAAUGGCUGAGGAACUUCCGGGCUCCAUAGAGCACGAUGGCGGAUAACGUCCGCCCAGGGCGACCUGAGAGAUAGCGCAACAGAGAACAGACCGCCUGUCCCUAGGGCAGGUAAGGGUGAAACGGCGGUGCAAGAGACCACCGGGCCGCUGGUGACAGCGGUUGCAUGGCAAGCCUCAUCGGGAGCAAGGCCAAGCAGAAGGCAUUCAGGGGUUGCUCGUCCCGCCUUCGGGUAGGCCGCUAGAGCCUGGCGGCAACGUCAGGUCGAGAUGGAUGGCCAUCCUUCCGUCGGAUCCAUUCGACGGAUGACAGAACCCGGGGUAUAUG
rnacentral:RNase_P_RNA from 1 species